rnacentral:sRNA from 2 species
AACAUCCCCCCUAUACAUCAAAAGAUGCCCUCAAAACUGAAAACAUUGCAGAGAGAACACUCUCCAGCUAUUAUUAAUACUAUUUUGAAUCUUUGAAAGCAGGAAUAUUUAUUUCUAGAUAUAGCUUGAAUUUAGAGCUCUCUCACUUCAUCAUAUUCUCUAUUGUUUAUUGUGAAUCUUAUCAAAUAGAUGAAGAAAGUUCUAAAAAAUAUUCUGAAAGAUCUUCUAAGCUCUCUGUCUGUAAUCAAUAUCAUCUUAUUCUCUCUGUAGAGAAGAAUCUCUUCCACUCUCUAGUCAGCUUUCUUAUAUUCUCAAAAUCUGGCUUUUAUAUUUGCUGAAAUACAGCAAGACAGUAUUUUGAAAAGAAUGAACAAUAUAUCUUUAAACUGCAAAAGAAGCUCUAUUUAAAGUCUAUACACAAGAAAGUUUGAAGAGUUUUUGAUAUUCAAUAUAGAAAUUGAGCUGAUGAAGAUUUCUCUUGUGUAAGCUUCUCAGAUAAAGUUUACUUUAAGAUUGAAUUGAAUAUAUCAAGUUGCUAUGUUCAUCAUUCAGUUGAUAAAGAUUAUGAGAGU